CCAACUCCUACGGGAGGCAGCAGUGAGGAAUAUUGGUCAAUGGGCUUACGCCUGAACCAGCCAAGUCGCGUGAGGGAAGACUGCCCUCUGGGUUGUAAACCUCUUUUGUCAGGGAGCAACGCCGGCUACGUGUAGCCGGACUGAGAGUACCUGAAGAAAAAGCAUCGGCUAACUCCGUGCCAGCAGCCGCGGUAAUACGGAGGAUGCGAGCGUUAUCCGGAUUUAUUGGGUUUAAAGGGUGCGCAGGCGGAAGAUCAAGUCAGCGGUAAAAUUGGGAGGCUCAACCUCUUCGAGCCGUUGAAACUGGUUUUCUUGAGUGAGUGAGAAGUAUGCGGAAUGCGUGGUGUAGCGGUGAAAUGCAUAGAUAUCACGCAGAACUCGGAUUGCGAAGGCAGCAUACCGGCGCUCAACUGGCGCUCAUGCACGAAAGCGUGGGUAUCGAACAGGAUUAGAUACCCUAGUA
rnacentral:rRNA from 1 species